GAUGAAGAACGCAGCGAAAUGCGAUAAGUAGUGUGAAUUGCAGAAUUCAGUGAAUCAUCGAAUCUUUGAACGCACAUUGCGCCCGCCAGUAUUCUGGCGGGCAUGCCUGUUCGAGCGUCAUUUCAACCCUCAAGCCCUCGGGUUUGGUGUUGGGGAUCGGCGAGCCUUUCUGGCAAGCCGGCCCCGAAAUCUAGUGGCGGUCUCGCUGCAGCCUCCAUUGCGUAGUAGUAAAACCCUCGCAACUGGAACGCGGCGCGGCCAAGCCGUUAAACCCCCAACUUCUGAAUGUUGACCUCGGAUCAGGUAGGAAUACCCGCUGAACUUAAGCAUAUCAAUAAGCGGUGGA
rnacentral:misc_RNA from 1 species